AGAGAACAACAUGAAGCGACAGAUGGCAGUUGCGGAGUGCACCUCUGAGAGGGUGGUGUGCGGUGAAGCGGGAGUAGAACAGGAGAGAAGUUGAGCUCCAGUCCUUCUCUUCCGCCGUCUUCGACAACACUCUUUUGCCAGUGCAGCCCUCCAGGGAAUAUGUACUGAGUGACACUUCACAGAACGAAACAGAAAGCAGUGGUUGAUUUGACCCACUACAGAUGACAGAAACGGAACCAACCGAGUGACUGAUGACAAUUAUUUCCAACAUUUAAAAUACCGAAUAAUAUUUCAGAAUCUAAGAAAGUAUAAAAACCACUGUUGCAUAAAUACAAAUAUGUGUCCUUAUCCACAUUUGGCUAGAUAGUAUUUAGCUUAUGAUCCUUAUAAUUUUAUCAGCAUGGUAAUCGUACCUUUCUGUUUAGGAAAAAAAAUAUUUUAUUCAAGUUAGAUUAGAGGUGGUUGUAUAUAUAACCAAUUCUGCUACUAGACUGAAGCAUCCUCAAGAUAGGUGUAUGUUUCAAAUAUCCUUAUACUCCCCUUUUUGUUUUUUUUUAAUGAUUUUUGUUUUUUCCAUUAUAGUUGAUUUACAGUGUUCUGUAAAUUUCUACUGUACAGCAAAGUGACCCUAAUAUAUAUAUGAGGCAUAUAUAUACAUUACCUCAUUACCCUCCAUCAUGUUCCAUCACAAGUGACCGGAUAGAGUUCCCUGUGACCCCCUGGAUUUUAAGUGGGUUACAUCAUCACUCAGAAUAAAGACCAUCUUUCCUCAGGCUGCCUUCAAACAAAGAAUAUGUAAGCAUAAGUGUAAACCGUCUCUAGCAACCUUCCUUAAGUUAGCUUCCUUUUCCAACCUUUAUUUUUCCUGCUGGCUGGAUGGUGGUUCUGAUGGCUAGAGGUGAGCAGCUGUCUUUGACCAUGAAAUGGUCUUAGAUGAGAGGCCAGUCCUGGCAGAGUAACUUCAUGGCGGCCAAAUCACACCAGUCUGGCCUGGCUCACCCUGGACUUUUAUGUGGGAUCAACUAUCUUAUUCAAGCUGCUGUCACUUGCAACAGGACAUAAUUCUAACCUUUAAAAUCUCUAGCAUAUUUUGUUGAAUAAAUGUUGCAAAUUUUUGGAGUUCCUGCUGUGGCACAGUGGGUUAAGAAUCCGACCGAAGCGGCUCUGGUUGCUGUGGAGGUGUGGGUUUGAUCCCGGGCCUGGCUCAGUGGACUAAUUGAUCAGGCGUUGUGUGGGUUGCAGCUGAAAAUGUUGCAGAUUUUAGGGUGUCCAUUAUUUUUGUUGGCUCAGAAGUUCAUGGGCUGAAAUAGGAAAACAGUGAGGUCAUCCCAAGGUCAGAGGCAAAUGAGAUCUAGGAAUCUAGGAGCUCAAGCAAUAGGAGAUCAGCUAUGGUCUGGCAAAUAAAGGAGAACGAGUCAAAGCUAAAUCUCAGUGAAAGAGACACAGUUUAGUCUGGGGGACUAAGAAUCAUCUGUCUCUGUGGCCUGAAGGAUAGUGAGCAGGUAGCUCAGGAUCUAUGUCAAAGGGUCUCAUCCAGGGUUAGUUUAGCUCCUCAGGGGACUGGGACUUUGGCAAUACCUGGAGCUGUCUUUGGUUGUCACCACUGGUCAAGGGAGGAGUGGUGCUGAAGGCGUCAAGUGCAUAGAGGCCACAGAUGCUGCUAAAAAUCUUGCCAUGAACAGAACGGCCCCCUGUAACAAAGAAUUGUCUGGCCCAAAAUGUUGAUAGUGCUGAGGUGAAGAAACCCUGGUUUAGCUGACUAUAGCUGCCAGAGGUGAAAUGGAUCAUUUAGCCAGCCUGGAUAACAGCUUGGAAAUAGAUGAUCCAGACUUUCAUGUUCAGCAUCAUUAAGCAAAUUUCAUGACUAAGCUUGAGUACCUGCAAAUUGCUCCCAGAAUGCUAAACAGCUUAUACCUCAACGUUCCUCUCGCACCACAAAGAUAAUUGUGCUCUGCCUGAGGCUGAGGCUGUGACAUGCUCACAGCCCUUAGGAAGAGUAUGGAAUAUGAAACAGGAAUGUAUUGGGGCCCUAAGAUCUCAGCUGGAGAAGCCCCUUUCCAUUCUGAAUGUGGGGAGAGGAAUCAACUGGACAAGCAAAGGCUCCUUUGAUGUGUGUCACCUGUGUCCUAAAUGUGGGAAUUGUCCCCACAUUCCCAAUGCCAAGGCUUGUGCAAAAGAUCCGUGUCAGAGAGGCUAAGAGGGCAGAUCUAUUCUUUUUUUUUUUUUGUCUUUUGUUGUUGUUGUUGUUGUUGUUGUUAUUGUUGCUAUUUCUUGGGCCGCUCCCGCAGCAUAUGGAGGUUCCCAGGCUAGGGGUUGAAUCGGAGCUGUAGCCACCGGCCUAUGCCAGAGCCACAGCAACGCGGGAUACGAGCCGAGUCUGCAACCUACACCACAGCUCACGGCAACGCUGGAUCGUUAACCCACUGAGCAAGGGCAGGGAUCGAACCCGCAACCUCAUGGUUCCUAGUCGGAUUCGUUAACCCCUGCGCCACGACGGGAACUCCA
rnacentral:lncRNA from 1 species